UACGUAGGGUGCGAGCGUUGUCCGGAAUUAUUGGGCGUAAAGGGCUCGUAGGCGGCUUGUCACGUCUGCUGUGAAACUCGGGGCUCAACCCCGAGCCUGGCAGUGGAUACGGGCUAGCUAGAGUGGCGGUAGGGGAGACUGGAAUUCCUGGGUGUAAGCGGUGAAAUGCGCAGAUAUCAGGAGGAACACCGGUGGCGAAGGCGGGUCUCUGGACCG
rnacentral:rRNA from 1 species